rnacentral:rRNA from 1 species
GACGAACCGUGCGAACGUUGUUUGGAAUCACUGGGCAUAAAGGGCGCGUAGGCGGCUCUCAAAGUCAGGGGUGAAAUCCGGCAGCUUAACUGUCGAAGUGCCUUUGAUACUGGGGAGCUCGAGGGAGGUAGGGGUGUGUGGAACUUCCGGUGGAGCGGUGAAAUGCGUUGAUAUCGGAAGGAACGCCGGUGGCGAAAGCGACACACUGGACCUCUUCUGACGCUGAGGCGCGAAAGCUAGGGGAGCAAACGGG